ACCUGUCCCCGCCUGUCAUCUUCCCCAUCGAGCAUGUUCUACAGGGGCACUGUAGCUCACCAAACCGCAGCGAGAUCGAAUCGAUUGGUUUGAUCGAUUCUUGACCCCAGGACACGGGAUCCACCCUAUAUAAGAUCACCAAACCCCCCUCUGCCGAUUUUUCUUUGUUUCGCCACCUCCUGAGCCCUAGAAUGGCGCCCAGAUCUCACCGGAGUCCGCCGCCGCCCGAAGCUUCUAUCGCCGCCGAUUUCUUCACCACCGAGGGGAAGCAUCCAAUCGAGCUCUAGGACCUCGAUCCGAAGCUCAAGUCCGAUGCCGCAGCUCCAGCCGGACCUCACCGACGCUAGCAGAAGCUCCCGUCGCCCAUGAGGACCUUUUCGAGUUCGCCGUGUUCCUCCUCAUCUCCUCUCGUCGUCCCCUAUCUCAGGAGGCCUCCGCAUCGCGCACAUCCUCCGAGUCCGGGCCGCCCCACGCCGUUCUCCUCCAAGUCCGGCAGCCACCGAGCCUCUGCUGUUCCGAUUGUCCAGAGUGUGAAGCGGAUCAGGACUAAGCGUUAGAGUACUUCAACACCGUUCAAGG